rnacentral:rRNA from 1 species
UGGGGAAUUUUGGACAAUGGGCGAAAGCCUGAUCCAGCAAUGCCGCGUGUGUGAAGAAGGCCUUCGGGUUGUAAAGCACUUUUGUCCGGAAAGAAAUCCUUGGCUCUAAUACAGUCGGGGGAUGACGGUACCGGAAGAAUAAGCACCGGCUAACUACGUGCCAGCAGCCGCGGUAAUACGUAGGGUGCAAGCGUUAAUCGGAAUUACUGGGCGUAAAGCGUGCGCAGGCGGUUUGCUAAGACCGAUGUGAAAUCCCCGGGCUCAACCUGGGAACUGCAUUGGUGACCGACAGGCUAGAGUAUGGCAGAGGGGGGUAGAAUUCCACGUGUAGCAGUGAAAUGCGUAGAGAUGUGGAGGAAUACCGAUGGCGAAGGCAGCCCCCUGGGCCAAUACUGACGCUCAUGCACGAAAGCGUGGGGAGCAAACAGGAUUAGAUACCCUGGUAGUCCACGCCCUAAACGAUGUCAACUAGUUGUUGGGGAUUCAUUUCCUUAGUAACGUAGCUAACGCGUGAAGUUGACCGCCUGGGGAGU